UUGUAUUAGCUCAUUCGGCCCUUCAACGCCCAAAUUGCUAGGCACGACAAUAAAAGCUCACUCAUCGUGUUUGGGUCCCUGUGCUUAGUGUUGAUAAGCGGAAUACUGAUAUGGACUGUGUUGUUGCCGAAACUGAAGAAAACAGGUUUAGGUAACGAAGACGCGGAAUUAGAUCCCGAAACUGCACUCCAUCCGGACGUAACUGAUCCAUACUUCAAUAUUUCAUUGCCUGAGGAACCCAAUCUUAACACGUCGUCGAAGGUUGCAAGGAGCAAGGCGAUUUUCAGAACCAAAAGCCUCCUCAGAGUUCCGCUGCAUAAUACACACGUUUUUACGAACGACAAGCUGGAGGAGAAGGCAACCACGUACAAAACGCAUUCCGAAGGCACACUCUAGAGAUAGCCGUCGCAUCACCCUGAAUAAAUAAUAGU